GUUGUACCCGUCACGGACAACGCAGUGGUCGUCAAAAAAGUACCGGUUGUACCAGUCACUGGCAGUGAAGUGGUAGUCGAGAAAGGACCAGCUGCUCAAGGGAUGUGGAAACAUUGAUAGGACACUGGCCCCUAACCUACCAGCUCGUUAGGCAUGCUUCUUCCAAUGACGCUGAUGGUAAUGGCUGGUGAAGGUAGUGGUCAGAGAGCGGUACAUGGUCCUUGGUGGUUGAUAACUGCAGCUAAAGCUAGCAUGGACUUGGUACUGUAGUAGGCUUAUAUCAUCAGUAUGAUGUUGUUUUUUAUUUGUCUAUGCAUUUAUUUUUUCCUAGGCAUGUUCUUGUUGUGGAGUUGUGCUCUUUUAUUUCCUAGGUUUUCGUAAGAGUGGAAUUUAUUUCUUCACGCUAUUGCCAGAUGAGUUUGUACUUUGUACCAAUUCAGUUGUUAAUCAAUGAAGCAGAUACUACUAGCACGCACAAAAA